rnacentral:lncRNA from 1 species
UUUUUUUUUUUUUUUAGGGCCGCACCCACGGCAUAUGAAGGUUCCCAGGCUAGGGAUCGAAUUGGAGCUACAGCUGCCAGCCACAGCCACAGCAACACCAGAUCCAAGUCGCUUCUGCGAACUACACCACAGCACAUGGCAGCCCCGGAUCCUCAACCCACUGAGCAAGUCCAGGGGUUUAACCUGCAUCCUCAUGGAUGCUCAUCAGAUUUGUUAGCUAGUGAGCCAAGAUGGGAACUCCAGAGGUAUUACACUUUUACAGUGACAUCCCAUCCCAGGAGAAACUAAAGUCAAUGAAACCAUAUAUUUUGAUGGCAAGAAAGAAAGAGAGGAAGGGAGGGAGGGAAGGAAGGAAGAAAGGAAGAAGGGGAGGGAGAGAGGAAGGAUGGAGUGAGGGAGGGAUGGGAGGGCAGGGCAGGGCUGAGGAGCUGGGGGAAGAGAAGGGCAGGGCAAGGGGAAGAUUUUAUGUUGUGGGUUAUCCCCUCCCCACAUUCCUAAGAGGAGGUGCCUUAGAGAGAACAUGCAUUUCCCUGUGGAGCUUUGUAACUGAGAAUGGAUCUAAUGUUUGAAGAUUUUUUUCAUAAAACAUGGCCACUGAAUGCAUAGUAAUCACAUCCCUUGGUUGUCAGCCAAAAAUGCAGUGUGCUUUGGUGCUAAAGCAAAAACUGGCUGUGUCAGGCUUGCAGAGAGACAUAUGUGUCCCAUACCUUAUGGGGGAUUUAAAGGAUUUUCCAGAGACAUUUUGAUUACAUGUAUUUUCAUUUUACACGCUGGCUUCAGACACUACCCUGCACAUAAGACACUGCACUGUGUAUGAAGGCCUCGUGUGUUCUGACUUCUCUGAUAUCAAAGCUGAGAGACUGGUGACCCAGACCUCAUCCAAUGCUGCAAAUUCCACACUAGGGGGAGGAAAAGAGGUUGCAGUCUCCAGGGGAAGCAAGAUUCUCACAUGAAACUACCCCCUGCAGCAUUCCUGUGUUUGAACAAUGGACAUGAGGGCUCAACUGCAGCAGAGGGUUGGUGUGCCUGUGGGAGCACCAGGCCCGCCUGCCUGUCCAGUACCCUGCACCCCUGGUCUGCUGCAGCCAGCCUAUCCUGUAACACAUCCUGACCCCCCGGAGACCCUUCCCCUCUACUCUGCACAGACUGCACCAGUCACCCUCUGGUCACCCCUCCCCGGUUUCCCUCUUACAAGGUGAGCUGAGGGACAACUGGUCAGAGGGCUGCAGGCUCUGGUAUCAGGAGGACCUUUAGAUUCUGGUGGCCACCUCAAGCACAUGGAGUGGGGUUGCAAGCAGAAGCCAACAGAGAGAAGCAGGGUAAAGGAGGCCUGAGAUGAGUAACCAAGCUGCUGGUGAGUGGCUGCCCCUGGCCUUCCUCGCCUGUGCCUCAUGCCUCACACUGCCCAGCCCCUCUCACUGAGCUGGUCUGCUCCUUUCUGUCUUUAGCAUCCAAACAAGGCUUCACUGCCUGGCUUCAAGCCAACCCCCGGGGGCCUCAGAGGCCUGCAUAGAAGAGAAGGUCUAACUGCUUGGACCAUUCACUUCAGCGUUUCCAUUACUUGUGACCUCUGGUGACCCAAAAUGCAAACUUCUAGAAUUCAGAUGGUUUCGGCAAGUUCAUUUGUCCCUUUCUUACAGGCUAGAUCUUUUUUUCCUGGUUCUGUGUAAAGUGCCCACCCUUUUAAGUCAAAUCCCUUUUCCGGUAAUUUCUCAGGGCUACAGGCAUACUUUUCAAUGGUGGGUGUGAAUUUUUUCCUAUAGUUUAUCACAAUAGGUGUGGAAAUAAUAACAGUGGGGUAAAAUUAUUUUCAGAUUUUCAGCACACACACAAAAUUUUUUGGCAACACCUGCGGCAUAUGGAAGUUCCCAGGCCAGGAACUGAAUCUGAGCCACAGCUGAGGCCAUGCUGAAUCCUUAACACACUGAACAGCAGUGGAAACUCCCAGAAUUUUUUAAAAAAUUAAUGUCACGAGGAGUUCCCCUUGUGGCUCAAUGGUAACGAACCUGACUAGUUUCCAUGAGGAUGCGGGUUCAAUCCCUGGUCUUGCUCAGUGGGUUAAAGGAUCCAGCAUUGCCAUGAGCUGUGGUGUAGGUUGCUGAUGUGGCUCAGAUCCCAUGUUGCUGUGACCGUGGCAUAGGCUGACAGCUACAGCUCCAGUCUGACCCCUGGCCUGAGAACUUCCAUAUGCGGAGGGCGCAACCCUAAAAAAAGACAAAAACAAAAAAUUAACAUUAUGUGAAAUCUCCAUACAGAAGAGACACAAGGCUACUGAGCUCUGGGUUUCUUCUCUCUGCACCCCUCCUCCACUAGCAACCACAGGCUCCCCUAAAACCCCAGGGCCCUGGGAACAAACAUUAGGUGCAUUGUUCAGGGCGGCAGCUUGUUUCAUCCUUAUCUCAGGCAAACAUCAAGCAGCACCCAUUACAUAUAACAGACAUACUACAGCCUGCCCCAAGCUCUGGAAGCGCUCUGGAAACUCACCAAAGUGAAAGACACAUCCCCAAAACAAAGGAGAGGCAGGGCAGAUAAGAUGCCAGCAGCCGUCAACCAGAGCCCUGCCCAGUACAAUGUGUCACAAGUACACUUAGGGCCCAGAGAAGGGAGGAGAGGCCGGCUAGAAAUUGCAGGGCUUCCUCAGGGUUUCUGUAGAUUUGCAUAUGAAGACAGAGUAAAAUCUGAGGAGUGGGAGUGGUGAGUGCAUCCAGAUAGGAGGAGAAGCACCAGCAAGGGUGGAAAUGUCUGUCCUGUGUCCAGGGGAUGGUUAGCUGAUGAAUCUGGUUGGAGAACAGGGCAUUUGGAAUGGGAAAAUGGAAGGAGUCAGAAUUUGAAUGAAAGGCUAGGAAAAUUCAACUCAUUUCCGAGACCAUCAAGAGCUCUGAAAGAAUCAACUUAGGAGAAAAAAAAAAAAAAUUAGGAAAAAGAAAAACAAGAUAAGAGCAAAAACCAGACGUCAAGCUGUUCACAUGUCUUCAGGAAAAGAGAAGGGUCAGCAGAGGGAAACUUUGAUGACACAUUUUCCACUGCUGACCCUCCCCCUAAAAGGGACACAUGCCUUGUGACCAACAAAGACAAAAUGCAUUAUCUCCACUUAAUCAUCACACAUCAAGCAGCGAGGUGACUCAUGUAAAGUCACCCAGCUAAGGACUCCAGGGGUCUUGGCUCACAGGUCUUCUCAGAAGAUUCCUCUCCAGCAAGGACACAUGAUCUCCAGACUCUUGUGCAGGGGCUGGUGAGAACAGUCUCCCACUAGCUCUUGUGCUUCUCAGACCUUCCUCUUUCUGCCCAAAUCCAGGAAUGGGGAACACCCCAACUCCCUCCGAGCCCAGCCUCGGCUUACAGCUCCAGCUUAUGACACACAGCCAGAGGAAUUCAGAGAAGAAUGGCCUUCUGUUGAAACCUCUCCAAGAUCAUCACAGUGAAACACCCACACAGGACAUGCACACACAGGCAUGAGCAAUAGUGAUGAAUGGGUCCUGGAAGGGUGAGGGCUGCACUCCAUCUGCCCUGAUGCUACUUAACUUCCCUGGGGAUGAUGGUUUAAGAUGUUCCCUCACCAGACAUAGUUUGGCCGUAACAUUUGGGCUGGCCACCUCUCUCUGCCUCCGUGUCCCUUACAUAAUCAAGAAUCCAGAGACAGGGGGAGGAUGGGAGAGAAAUGAGGUAUAGAGUCUGAGUAUCUUGCACAAGGUCAUCAGACAAGGGGCUACAUUGGCUCCCCUCUCAUCCUGCUCCUCGAGUUCCAGAGGCUAGGUUCUGUCCAACAGAAUGGACCAGAAUGACAUCAUCAGAAAAGGGGACAAAGAGGAAGGCAGACAGCACUGCACAUCCCUAAUCAGGUGGAGGAAGGCUUUCCCGGAGGAGACUGUGCUGGACUUCCCAGCACCUCUGCUGAAUUCCCAGGAGUCUGUUCCUGACACACUGGGGGCUGAGGGGAGGGCACCUUACAGUCAGGAGAGCGUGUCAACCGCAGUUCAGCCAGUGACUCAGCACUGGUGGGAAGGUCAGACCUCCCUGAGGGCACCGGCCUGCAGUCAACACUGGGCUUAUCCACUUCCCAACAUCCGCCCUCACAUGUGAGGAGUAAACGCCUCCCGGUGACUGUGCUGCUUCUCUUCCGUAAUACGCAUGCCAUCUCCCUUUCACUGGUUCUCUAAUCCAACUAGUUUUCUAAAUUUACAAUAGUGUGCAACUGAAUAAAAAAAAAAUCUCAGUACCAAAGGCUGUUCAAUAAAAAUAAGCAAUAGAGGUUUAAGGAUAAAUUUCUAGUUCUUGACAGACACACUAGUGUAGGGCAGCUUCACACACUUCCCAUUUUUGCAAGAAACUAACCCGAUUUGUGUGUCCUUCCGCUUUCGCGCUCCUUCACCCCAUCCCUAAGCUCUGGCCCAGGGACUGCCUGAUCACAUGGCAACAAAGUUCAUAAUGCCUUUGUUCUGUUCUAGAAAUAGAAUUGAUUGUGCUUCAUCUAAAGCUUGAUUCUUAGAAUUGAAAACAAACCACCAGCGCUUACGAUAUUUUGGUUGUGUACAAAUUGUUCCCUCCAGAGGAAAGUGGACACCCUCAGAGAAGGACAUGCAGACAUACCACUAAACUUGCGCUGCUCCAAGGAAAAUAAAAUUAACGAAGUUGGGAGGACUGGGGAGGGGAUGGAGUGGAGGGAGCAUUCAAGUUAUUUUUCCUCAGCAUGGUGAAGGCAUGUUUCUAACUCCUAUCCUUGAGUUGGCACGAAGAAUGGAAGGAACAACAUCCGGGACCUUCAUACAUGGACUAUUCAUCUGCAUUUUUUGAGCACCAAUUACGCUCUGUAUACAAUGCUAAGCAUUUAAGAUGCAUACAAGAACAGUACCCACCUUCACAAUCUCCCGAGGGAGAGGGAAAAUCAAAGGCAGUGUGCAAAGAGUAAACACUCCAAGAAAUAAGGGUGUUUUAUUUGGUUUGGUUCACUGCUGUGUUUUUAGUCUUUAGCCAAUCACGGUAUGACUGAGCAUGAUGCCUGAGGUAUGGACAAUGGAAGGGCGUGGACUGGACCUCUAAGGAGGAUCCCUGAGGGUGCUCGCCUCAGGUUUGAAAGCUCAGAGAACGUUCCCAAAGAGAGUUUGGGUUGGAUGUUGAAACCCAAGUUGGAGGAGGACAUGGGAAGAAACUGCGCAAGGGUUUUCCAAGUAGUCUGGUGGAAGCAGAAGUUGAGUUUGAGAACAUGGCAUGAGAUGAGGGGAGAAUGACAAGAUGAGGCAAUUCACAAAGGGGCUUGUGUGGCGGGCUGAUGAACCUGGCCUCCAUGCCAGGGGUGACAGGGAAUUUUGGAGGGCUGUCGGCAGGGGAGUGGCAGGGUGGCAGGUCAGGUCUGUGUGGUAGAGACCACUGUGUGUGAGGGGAGUGGGGGCUGAAUGGGUGGUGGGGGUGGGCUUGAGGUGGGAGUGUAGUUGGGGGCUAAGGCUGUCUCUGGGAUGAGACAUAGUAAGAAGUCAAACUAAGGUUCUGAGGUUGGAGAGAAGAGCUCAGCUCUGAUAAAUAUUUAGGAGGUAGAAUCUGCACAAUUCCAUAGCUGCGUGGCUUUGAGGGAUAGCUCAGCACAGGGUGGGUUCUUGACCUGGGUGGCUGAGGGG